CAGCAGCCGCGGUAAAACGGAGGGCGCGAGCGUUACCCGGAUUUACUGGGCCUAAAGGGCGUGUAGGCGGCCUGGGGCGUCCCAUGUGAAAGGCCACGGCUCAACCGUGGAGGAGCGUGGGAUACGCUCAGGCUAGAGGGUGGGAGAGGGUGGUGGAAUUCCCGGAGUAGCGGUGAAAUGCGCAGAUACCGGGAGGAACGCCGAUGGCGAAGGCAGCCACCUGGUCCACUUCUGACGCUGAGGCGCGAAAGCGUGGGGAGCAAACAGGAUUAGAUACCCCAGUAGUCCCUGUCUCUUAUAC
rnacentral:rRNA from 1 species